rnacentral:rRNA from 1 species
GUGGACGCCAGUCUGCGUGGAGCCGACCUUGAAAUACCACCCUUUAAUGUUUGAUGUUCUAACGUGGACCCGUAAUCCGGGUUGCGGACAGUGUCUGGUGGGUAGUUUGACUGGGGCGGUCUCCUCCUAAAGAGUAACGGAGGAGCACGAAGGUUGGCUAAUCCUGGUCGGACAUCAGGAGGUUAGUGCAAUGGCAUAAGCCAGCUUGACUGCGAGCGUGACGGCGCGAGCAGGUGCGAAAGCAGGUCAUAGUGAUCCGGUGGUUCUGAAUGGAAGGGCCAUCGCUCAACGGAUAAAAGGUACUCCGGGGAUAACAGGCUGAUACCGCCCAAGAGUUCAUAUCGACGGCGGUGUUUGGCACCUCGAUGUCGGCUCAUCACAUCCUGGGGCUGAAGUAGGUCCCAAGGGUAUGGCUGUUCGCCAUUUAAAGUGGUACGCGAGCUGGGUUUAGAACGUCGUGAGACAGUUCGGUCCCUAUCUGCCGUGGGCGCUGGAGAACUGAGGGGGGCUGCUCCUAGUACGAGAGGACCGGAGUGGACGCAUCACUGGUGUUCGGGUUGUCAUGCCAAUGGCACUGCCCGGUAGCUAAAUGCGGAAGAGAUAAGUGCUGAAAGCAUCUAAGCACGAAACUUGCCCCGAGAUGAGUUCUCCCUGAGACUUUAGAGUCUCCUGAAGGAACGUUGAAGACGACGACGUUGAUAGGCCGGGUGUGUAAGCGCAGCGAUGCGUUGAGCUAACCGGUACU